UACGUAGGGGGCAAGCGUUGUCCGGAUUUAUUGGGCGUAAAGAGCGUGUAGGCGGCCCGACAGGUCCGUUGUGAAAACUCGAGGCUCAACCUCGAGACGUCGAUGGAAACCGUCGGGCUAGAGUCCGGAAGAGGAGAGUGGAAUUCCUGGUGUAGCGGUGAAAUGCGCAGAUAUCAGGAGGAACACCCGUGGCGAAAGCGGCUCUCUGGGACGGUACUGACGCUGAGACGCGAAAGCGUGGGGAGCGAACAGGAUUA
rnacentral:rRNA from 1 species